rnacentral:rRNA from 1 species
CCUACGGGAGGCAGCAGUAGGGAAUAUUGCUCAAUGGGGGAAACCCUGAAGCAGCAACGCCGCGUGGAGGAUGAAGGUUUUCGGAUUGUAAACUCCUUUUGGUAGAGAAGAUAAUGACGGUAUCUAACGAAUAAGCACCGGCUAACUCCGUGCCAGCAGCCGCGGUAAUACGGAGGGUGCAAGCGUUACUCGGAAUCACGGGGCGUAAAGAGCGCGUAGGUGGGAUAGCAAGUCAGAUGUGAAAUCCUAUGGCUUAACCAUAGAACUGCAUUUGAAACUGUUAUUCUAGAGUAUGGGAGAGGUAGGUGGAAUUCUUGGUGUAGGGGUAAAAUGCGUAGAGAUCAAGAGGAAUACUCAUUGCGAAGGCGACCUGCUAGAACAUAACUGACGCUGAUGCGCGAAAGCGUGGGGAGCAAACAGGAUUAGAUACCCGGGUAGUC